UCGUGCUAGACGGGGAGCUAGCGGUGCCCUGAACCCGCAAUCCGCUACAGCGGGGUCGAAUUCCCGCCCGAGGGCGUGUCGUUUGGGGACUGGGGGGCGUAAGCGGCGCUGACGGCCGGGCCCUGCGCAGCGGGAGCGCAGCGAACCCCGUCAGGUCCGGAAGGAAGCAGCGGUAAGCGGCGGAUACCGUGUGCCGCAGACCGUCCGGCCCGAGCUGGCUGCGCCCAUUCCGCCCGGGCGGCCCGUUCGACGGCGGGUGCACGA
rnacentral:SRP_RNA from 1 species